GACGAACGCUGGCGGCGUGCUUAACACAUGCAAGUCGAACGAUAAUCUACUGAAAGAGUUUUCGGACAAUGGAAGUAGAGGAAAUUGGCGGACGGGUGAUUAACGCGUGAGGAACCUGCCUUGAAGAGGGGGACAACAGUUGGAAACGACUGCUAAUACCGCAUGAAGCAUAGGGGUCGCAUGAUUCUUCUGCCAACGAUUUAUCGCUUCAAGGUGGCCUCGCGUCUGAUUAGCUGGUUGGCGGAGUAACGGCCCACCAAGGCGCAGGACAGUAGACAGACGGAGAGGGAGAAGGGCCAGAUUGGGACGGAGGGAAGGAGCAGACUACUACGGGAAGCAGGAGUGAGGAAUAUUGAGCAAUGGGGGGAAGGCUGACACAGCAUCGGGGCGGGAAAGAAGAAGGAUUUGGGGUGGAAAACUUCUUUUAAGAGGGAAGAGCAGAAGACGGUACCUAAAGAAUAAGCAACGGCUAACUACGUG
rnacentral:rRNA from 1 species